rnacentral:misc_RNA from 1 species
AGAUAUAGAAGAGGAGAUUUCAGCGUUAGAGCAAAUGUUCGAGCGAUUUAACAUGAAAAUCUCUAAGCAUGAAGAGAAGAAUAUCGAAUGUGCUAAGCCAAAAGCUGAGAUCAGUGCCACCAAGCCCCCUGUUCUCGCAUGAGAAGGAAAGGAUGACUGAAAUAAUAAGCUGUCUACUCUGGAAUUUUGCUGCUGCUUUUUGUUUUUAUAUUUUGUAUAAUUCAGAUCGAAGAUCAUACGUAUUGAUUGUUAAGAGGCAAGCAGUUGUAAUGCGCCAAAGUAG